AGUCGAGCGAGUCUGCCUUGAAGAUCGGAGUGCUUGCACUCUGUGAAACAAGAUACAGGCUAGCGGCGGACGGGUGAGUAACACGUGGGUAACCUGCCCAAGAGAUCGGGAUAACACCUGGAAACAGAUGCUAAUACCGGAUAACAACAGAUGAUGCCUAUCAACUGUUUAAAAGAUGGUUCUGCUAUCACUCUUGGAUGGACCUGCGGUGCAUUAGCUAGUUGGUAGGGUAACGGCCUACCAAGGCGAUGAUGCAUAGCCGAGUUGAGAGACUGAUCGGCCACAUUGGGACUGAGACACGGCCCAAACUCCUACGGGAGGCAGCAGUAGGGAAUCUUCCACAAUGGACGCAAGUCUGAUGGAGCAACGCCGCGUGAGUGAAGAAGGGUUUCGGCUCGUAAAGCUCUGUUGUUGGUGAAGAAGGACAGGGGUAGUAACUGACCUUUGUUUGACGGUAAUCAAUUAGAAAGUCACGGCUAACUACGUGCCAGCAGCCGCGGUAAUACGUAGGUGGCAAGCGUUGUCCGGAUUUAUUGGGCGUAAAGCGAGUGCAGGCGGCUCGAUAAGUCUGAUGUGAAAGCCUUCGGCUCAACCGGAGAAUUGCAUCAGAAACUGUCGAGCUUGAGUACAGAAGAGGAGAGUGGAACUCCAUGUGUAGCGGUGAAAUGCGUAGAUAUAUGGAAGAACACCGGUGGCGAAGGCGGCUCUCUGGUCUGUUACUGACGCUGAGGCUCGAAAGCAUGGGUAGCGAACAGGAUUAGAUACCCUGGUAGUCCAUGCCGUANACGAUGAGUGCUAAGU
rnacentral:rRNA from 1 species